rnacentral:miRNA from 1 species
AUUCCUUCCAGUAGCACCUUAGAGACCAACUAGGUUUGUUAUUGGUAUGAGCUUUCGUGUGCGUGCACACCAAUAACAAACUUAGUUGGUCUCUAAGGUGCUACUGGAAGGAAU